AUUGAACGCUGGCGGAAUGCUUUACACAUGCAAGUCGAACGAUGAACCUUAGCUUGCUAAGGGGAUUAGUGGCGAACGGGUGAGUAAUGUAUCGGAACGUAUCCAAUAAUGGGGGAUAACUAGUCGAAAGAUUAGCUAAUACCGCAUACGUCCUACGGGAGAAAGCUAGGGACCUUCGGGCCUGGCGUUAAUGGAGCGGCCGAUAUCUGAUUAGCUAGUUGGUGGGGUAAAGGCUCACCAAGGCGACGAUCAGUAGCUGGUCUGAGAGGACGACCAGCCACACUGGAACUGAGACACGGUCCAGACUCCUACGGGAGGCAGCAGUGGGGAGUUUUGGAUAAUGGGCGAAAGCCUGAUCCAGCCAUUCCGCGUGAGUGAAGAAGGCCUUCGGGUUGUAAAGCUCUUUCGCAAGGGAAGAAAACUUAAGCUCUAACAUAGCUUGAGGUUGACGGUACCUUGAUAAGAAGCACCGGCUAACUACGUGCCAGCAGCCGCAGUAAAAC
rnacentral:rRNA from 1 species